AUCUAAAUAGCUUAAAUUUAAAGUUUAAUAUUGAAGAUAUUAAGAUAAGUGAAAUACUUUUUAGGUA
rnacentral:tRNA from 1 species